GUGAGGAAUUUUCCGCAAUGGGCGAAAGCCUGACGGAGCAAUGCCGCGUGAAGGAUGAAGGCCUAUGGGUUGUAAACUUCUUUUCUUAGAGAAGAAUAUUGACGGUAUCUGAGGAAUAAGCAUCAGCUAACUCUGUGCCAGCAGCCGCGGUAAGACAGAGGAUGCAAGCGUUAUCCGGAAUGAUUGGGCGUAAAGCGUCUGUAGGUGGCUUCAAAAGUCUCCUGUCAAAGAUCAGGGCUUAACCCUGGGCCGGCAGGAGAAACUCUGAGGCUAGAGUUUGGUAGGGGCAGAGGGAAUUCCCGGUGGAGCGGUGAAAUGCGUAGAGAUCGGGAGGAACACCAAAGGCGAAAGCACUCUGCUGGGCCACAACUGACACUGAGAGACGAAAGCGAGGGGAGCAAAAGGGAUUAGAUACCCCGGUAGUCC
rnacentral:rRNA from 1 species